AAAUAGAGGAGUUUGCUGCUUUUUUAUUUUUUUUUUCCCUUUGUGUUGGAGAUACGAACAGAAAAGAAUCAAUAAAUCUAGCGCCAUGGCAGACUGUUUUAAGUUAUCAGACGUUGGUUUAAAACGUUGUCGUAGUAUCGCUGACUACGAACCAGGUUUCAACGACUCUCUUACUUCACUCAACUGAAUUGAGCCAUUUGGAAACUAGUUGAGUUUUUCACACAAAAUGACAAAUCAAAAACCUUCCAGAAAAUCCCCUUCCAGUUGCUCUCAAUUCGAGUUUCAAUCUUCAAAUUGUCGAAAAGAGAUGGAGAUGGAGAUCGAUAAGCCUCAUAUUUUUCACGGGAGGCAAUGAUUGCAAUUCUACCUCUUGCACGCCCUCAACAAUCUCUUCCAGGUACUAAACUAUUACCUAUCCCCUUCUGUCUGUCUUCUAAUCUAUUCGAUUACUCAUAAAAAUCUUUCUUAACCAAUAACCAUCGCUAAUUUCAGCAAAAGAAUGAAUUUACUCGACCAAACUUGGAUGCAAUUGCUCAGAAACUCGUUUUCGAUGAUCCGAACAAGCAGAAAUGGACACCCUUUUCUGUUGUCUUCAAGCCUCAUCACAAUUCCCUCACUGGAAACUACGACAUUAAUGUCUUAAUCGCUGCCCUUCAAGGGAAAGAUAAGGCUGUUAAUUGGCAUGACCGGCGAAAUGGGCUUCCUCAAUUCAUCUAGAUGAACAUAGUAAUUUGUUUGGUAUAGUGUUUAAUGUUCAAGUUAGACGCUAUAUUGGGCUUUGGAAGAGUAGGCAUUGGGGUUUGGUAUAAUUUGGAUAGUGAUCUUAGUGAGCCUAUGGCUUUUCAGAAGCUGAUGAGUUUACGGGAUUCUUGGAUUAUAUUAUUGGUCAGGGUGGGGAAUUAUUGCUUGUCACGAAUGAGAGAGAAUGACUUCCCUUUGUCAUGAAUGAGAAAGAAUGACUCCCCUUUUCUUUAGGUUUUGAGUGGUGACAGAACUUUGUAUAUAUCAAUCUUUUCCUGUGCUCACACUUUAAAAGCAA
rnacentral:misc_RNA from 1 species